UCAAAGCCUAACAAGCAGUGCGACCCGCGAAUUUGUUUGACUACUAAGGGGUGGCUAGAGGUGUUCGGCACCUCGGUACCCCAUUGUGUCAGAUGAGCCCGUCCUUGUGCGGUCUCCUCCUGGCCUUAUAACAAAACCCCGGCGCCGAAUGCGCCAAGGAAAUCAAGAUUGUCUAGUGCGUCCCCGUUGGCCCGGAGACGGUGCCGCUGCGGGUGGCGUUGUGACACGCAUCUCCCAA
rnacentral:rRNA from 1 species